rnacentral:rRNA from 1 species
AUUGAACGCUGGCGGCAGGCCUAACACAUGCAAGUCGAGCGGCAGCGACAACAUUGAACCUUUCGGGGGAUUUGUUGGGCGGCGAGCGGCGGACGGGUGAGUAAUGCCUGGGAAAUUGCCCUGAUGUGGGGGAUAACCAUUGGAAACGAUGGCUAAUACCGCAUGAUAGCUUCGGCUCAAAGAGGGGGACCUUCGGGCCUCUCGCGUCAGGAUAUGCCCAGGUGGGAUUAGCUAGUUGGUGAGGUAAGGGCUCACCAAGGCGACGAUCCCUAGCUGGUCUGAGAGGAUGAUCAGCCACACUGGAACUGAGACACGGUCCAGACUCCUACGGGAGGCAGCAGUGGGGAAUAUUGCACAAUGGGCGCAAGCCUGAUGCAGCCAUGCCGCGUGUAUGAAGAAGGCCUUCGGGUUGUAAAGUACUUUCAGCAGUGAGGAAGGAGGUAUCGUUAAUAGCGGUAUCUUUUGACGUUAGCUGCAGAAGAAGCACCGGCUAACUCCGUGCCAGCAGCCGCGGUAAUACGGAGGGUGCGAGCGUUAAUCGGAAUUACUGGGCGUAAAGCGCAUGCAGGUGGUUUGUUAAGUCAGAUGUGAAAGCCCGGGGCUCAACCUCGGAAUUGCAUUUGAAACUGGCAGGCUAGAGUACUGUAGAGGGGGGUAGAAUUUCAGGUGUAGCGGUGAAAUGCGUAGAGAUCUGAAGGAAUACCGGUGGCGAAGGCGGCCCCCUGGACAGAUACUGACACUCAGAUGCGAAAGCGUGGGGAGCAAACAGG